GAAAGCGCAAACAUAAUGGGUUAGUAGUUAAUCUGGUUAUUUAGAAAGCCAACGGUUGCUGAAAGUUGGUUGAUUGGACUGAUGAAUCCGCCAUUUAGCGUUUGACUUCAUUUUUAAGAGGUCGCGGUGAGACGAUAUACUCGUAGAGCAGUAAAUUGGGUGGUACCACGUUGAUAAAAAACGUCCCAUAG
rnacentral:misc_RNA from 1 species